AGCCAACUGGGACUGAGACACGGCCCAGACUCCUACGGGAGGCAGCAGUGGGGAAUAUUGCACAAUGGGCGCAAGCCUGAUGCAGCCAUGCCGCGUGUGUGAAGAAGGCCUUCGGGUUGUAAAGCACUUUCAGUCAGGAGGAAAGGUUAGUAGUUAAUACCUGCUAGCUGUGACGUUACUGACAGAAGAAGCACCGGCUAACUCCGUGCCAGCAGCCGCGGUAAUACGGAGGGUGCGAGCGUUAAUCGGAAUUACUGGGCGUAAAGCGUACGCAGGCGGUUUGUUAAGCGAGAUGUGAAAGCCCCGGGCUCAACCUGGGAACUGCAUUUCGAACUGGCAAACUAGAGUGUGAUAGAGGGUGGUAGAAUUUCAGGUGUAGCGGUGAAAUGCGUAGAGAUCUGAAGGAAUACCGAUGGCGAAGGCAGCCACCUGGGUCAACACUGACGCUCAUGU
rnacentral:rRNA from 1 species